AUGUCACUGAAGGCGACCAACGAGAACCUCCCACCAACUGUCAUCAGGCAAUUGGCUAAAGAACUGAAGAACCUUGAUGACUCACCUCCAGAAGGGAUCAAAGUUAUUGUUAAUGACGAUGACUUCGCCACUAUUUUUGCUGAUAUUGAGGGCCCUGCUGGAACCCCAUAUGAGAAUGGAAUAUUCCGGAUGAAGCUAAUAUUAUCUCGUGACUUCCCUCAGUCACCUCCAAAAGGGUUUUUCACGACUAAAAUUUUCCAUCCAAAUAUUGCAACUAGUGGUGAGAUAUGUGUUAACACAUUGAAGAAGGAUUGGAAUCCUAGCCUUGGAUUAAGGCAUGUUCUGCUGGUAGUGAGAUGCCUCCUGAUUGAGCCAUUUCCUGAAUCUGCCCUGAAUGAACAAGCUGGGAAGUUGCUGCUUGAGAACUAUGAGGAGUAUGCACGGCAUGCCAGGCUAUAUACCAGUAUCCAUGCUCUCAGACCCAAGAAUAAGUCCAAGAGUGGAGCUAUCUCUGAGUCAAUGACAGCUCUGAAUAAGGGCCAGCCUCAUACUGUUCUUGCACCAAUAUCGACCUCUACCGGCACAAAAGCAUUUGGCCCAAAUUCACAGGAUCGGAACGCUGCCCCUUCUGCUGUCUCAGGUGGAGCACCGGCAGCGCCCAGGAAGGACGGGCCACUGGCCGUGAAAGUCCCCGUCGAUAAGAAGAAGAUGGAUGCGAGGAAGAAGAGUUUGAAGAGAUUAUAA
rnacentral:rRNA from 1 species